UACGGAGGGAGCUAGCGUUGUUCGGAAUUACUGGGCGUAAAGCGCGCGUAGGCGGCUUUGUAAGUUAGAGGUGAAAGCCCGGGGCUCAACCCCGGAAUUGCCUUUAAGACUGCAUCGCUUGAAUCCGGGAGAGGUGAGUGGAACUGCGAGUGUAGAGGUGAAAUUCGUAGAUAUUCGCAAGAACACCAGUGGCGAAGGCGGGUUGCUGGGCUGACACUGACGCUGAGGCGCGAAAGCCAGGGGAGCAAACGGG
rnacentral:rRNA from 1 species